rnacentral:rRNA from 1 species
AACUCUGGUAUUGAUUGGUGCUUGCAUCAUGAUUUACAUUUGAGUGAGUGGCGAACUGGUGAGUAACACGUGGGAAACCUGCCCAGAAGCGGGGGAUAACACCUGGAAACAGAUGCUAAUACCGCAUAACAACUUGGACCGCAUGGUCCGAGUUUGAAAGAUGGCUUCGGCUAUCACUUUUGGAUGGUCCCGCGGCGUAUUAGCUAGAUGGUGGGGUAACGGCUCACCAUGGCAAUGAUACGUAGCCGACCUGAGAGGGUAAUCGGCCACAUUGGGACUGAGACACGGCCCAAACUCCUACGGGAGGCAGCAGUAGGGAAUCUUCCACAAUGGACGAAAGUCUGAUGGAGCAACGCCGCGUGAGUGAAGAAGGGUUUCGGCUCGUAAAACUCUGUUGUUAAAGAAGAACAUAUCUGAGAGUAACUGUUCAGGUAUUGACGGUAUUUAACCAGAAAGCCACGGCUAACUACGUGCCAGCAGCCGCGGUAAUACGUAGGUGGCAAGCGUUGUCCGGAUUUAUUGGGCGUAAAGCGAGCGCAGGCGGUUUUUUAAGUCUGAUGUGAAAGCCUUCGGCUCAACCGAAGAAGUGCAUCGGAAACUGGGAAACUUGAGUGCAGAAGAGGACAGUGGAACUCCAUGUGUAGCGGUGAAAUGCGUAGAUAUAUGGAAGAACACCAGUGGCGAAGGCGGCUGUCUGGUCUGUAACUGACGCUGAGGCUCGAAAGUAUGGGUAGCAAACAGGAUUAGAUACCCUGGUAGUCCAUACCGUAAACGAUGAAUGCUACGUGUUGGAGGGUUUCCGCCCUUCAGUGCUGCAGCUAACGCAUUAAGCAUUCCGCCUGGGGAGUACGGCCGCAAGGCUGAAACUCAAAGGAAUUGACGGGGGCCCGCACAAGCGGUGGAGCAUGUGGUUUAAUUCGAAGCUACGCGAAGAACCUUACCAGGUCUUGACAUACUAUGCAAAUCUAAGAGAUUAGACGUUCCCUUCGGGGACAUGGAUACAGGUGGUGCAUGGUUGUCGUCAGCUCGUGUCGUGAGAUGUUGGGUUAAGUCCCGCAACGAGCGCAACCCUUAUUAUCAGUUGCCAGCAUUAAGUUGGGCACUCUGGUGAGACUGCCGGUGACAAACCGGAGGAAGGUGGGGAUGACGUCAAAUCAUCAUGCCCCUUAUGACCUGGGCUACACACGUGCUACAAUGGAUGGUACAACGAGUUGCGAACUCGCGAGAGUAAGCUACUCUCUUAAAGCCAUUCUCAGUUCGGAUUGUAGGCUGCAACUCGCCUACAUGAAGUCGGAAUCGCUAGUAAUCGCGGAUCAGCAUGCCGCGGUGAAUACGUUCCCGGGCCUUGUACACACCGCCCAUCACACCAUGAGAGUUUGUAACACCCAAAGUCGGU